CGGUACUACGUAGGGUGCGAGCGUUAAUCGGAAUUACUGGGCGUAAAGCGUGCGCAGGCGGUUUGCUAAGACAGGUGUGAAAUCCCCGGGCUUAACCUGGGAACUGCGCUUGUGACUGGCAGGCUAGAGUACGGCAGAGGGGGGUGGAAUUCCACGUGUAGCAGUGAAAUGCGUAGAGAUGUGGAGGAACACCGAUGGCGAAGGCAGCCCCCUGGGCCUGUACUGACGCUCAUGCACGAAAGCGUGGGGAGCAAACAGGAUUAGAUACCCUGGUAGUCCACGCCCCUAAACGAUGUCAACUAGUCGUUCGGAGCGGUAACGCACUGAGUGACGCAGCUAACGCGUGAAGUUGACCGCCUGGGGAGUACGGCCGCAAGGUUAAAACUCAAAGGAAUUGACGGGGACCCGCACAAGCGGUGGAUGAUGUGGAUUAAUUCGAUGCAACGCGAAAAACCUUACCUACCCUUGACAU
rnacentral:rRNA from 1 species